rnacentral:lncRNA from 1 species
CGAGCUUCUCGCUGAUCUCCCAGAGCUUCUUGGCCUUUUCGGCGUCGCUGGCCUCCUCGGAGAGCUGGUUCUCGAAGGAGGCCGAGUUCUUGUUCCAGCUCCAGUAGACGCCGGACUUGGUGAGGCUGGGGUCGCUGACCACCUGCGCCAGCCGCUUCCCGGCCUCGUCCUCGGAGACGUAGCCCUUGGUGAUGUACUUCUGGAACGGCGGGAACAGCAGCCGGAACAGCGGGAUGUGCUCCCGGAACAGUCCCGUGGUGGCGAUGCAGCCCGGGUAGAGAGACGCGAACGUCACGCCCGUCUCCUCGUGGUACCGGCGGUGGAACUCCUGCAUCGUCAGCAUGUUGCACACCUUGCUGUCCUUGUACGCCUUGGCGCCGUCGAACUCCCCGCCGUCGAUCAUCACCGAGCUGCCCACGCCGUUCAGUCCACCGGCGAGCCCGCGCAGGUCGCCCAGGUUCGCCUUCGGCGGCACGUUCCCGGCCAGCGUGUUCGUGUUCCCUGCCCGAUAGAUCGAUUAUUAAAAGCUCAGCUCAGUCAGUAGUUACUUGACAGGCAUCCGAGAAUGUUGGCCGCCGCCGUGGCCAGAGUAUUGUAGCACGUACCGGUGAUGGAGCCGACGAUGAUGAGGCGCUUGGAGGGGUAGUCGGAGGACUGGAGGUCGCUGAGGAGCUCGCGGGCGAGGAGGAAGUGGCCGAGGUGGUUGACGCCGACGCUCAUCUCGAAGCC